rnacentral:lncRNA from 1 species
AAUUGCAGCUCAUCAAUCAAUCGCUCCAGCCUUUGGACAUCCUGUACACACAGAAGGUCUGUUUAUUCUGAGGUUUCCUCCAAAGUCCAACCGAAUAACCUGGUUUCAGCCUUUGGAUCGCUGUGGACUACAGCAGCAUUGAGGCGUAGGUCACAGACAACAUSGAUCCUGCUGCAGGCGUUAUAACCAGCACAAAGGCUGAUACCCUGG